rnacentral:rRNA from 1 species
ACCGGCGCACGGGUGAGUAACGCGUAUGCAACCUACCCUUUAUCGGGGGAUAGCCCGAAGAAAUUCGGAUUAAUACCCCAUAGAAUUCGAUAGAGACAUCUCUAAUGAAUUAAAACUCCGGUGAUAAAGGAUGGGCAUGCGUGACAUUAGUUAGUUGGUGAGGUAACGGCUCACCAAGACGGUGAUGUCUACGGGGUCUAAAAGGAUGGUCCCGCACACUGGUACUGAGACACGGACCAGACUCCUACGGGAGGCAGCAGUGAGGAAUAUUGGUCAAUGGGGGCAACCCUGAACCAGCCAUGCCGCGUGAAGGAUGAAGGCUCUAUGAGUUGUAAACUUCUUUUGUACGGGGAAGAAAACGCAUUACGUGUAAUGCACUGACUGUACCGUAUGAAUAAGCAUCGGCUAACUCCCGUGCCAGCAGCCGCGGGUAAUACGGAGGNAUGCAAGCCGNUAUCCNGAUUUAUUAGGUUUAAAGGGUGCGUACGCUGACCGAUAAGNCAGUGGUGAAAUGCCNCAGCUUAACUGCGGGAACUGCCAUUGAUACUGUUUGGUCUUGAAAUGUGGUUAGCAGGCCGAAAGCGUANUGUACCCSGGGAAAMURYUWAGAWWUUACCCWCGAACCCCCGAUUGSSNUAGGCCAGCUUGCCUAGCCAUGAUUGACGCUGAGGCACGAAAGCGUGGGGAUCGAACAGGAUUAGAUACCCUGGUAGUCCACGCCGUAAACGAUGAUUACUCGUUGCGCGCGAUAUACAGUGCGUGACUGAGCGAAAGCAUUAAGUAAUCCACCUGGGGAGUACGACGGCAACGCUGAAACUCAAAGGAAUUGACGGGGGCCCGCACAAGCGGUGGAGCAUGUGGUUCAAUUCGAUGCAACGCGAAGAACCUUACCUGGGUUUGAAGAGGGGCAGACAGAAGGUGAAAGCCUUUCUCUCCGCAAGGAGCUGUCACUUAGGUGCUGCAUGGCUGUCGUCAGCUCGUGUCGUGAGAUGUUGGGUUAAGUCCCGCAACGAGCGCAACCCUUGUCCUCAGUUACCAUCGUUAAGUCGGGGACUCUGAGGAGACCGCCGGUGACAAACCGGAGGAAGGUGGGGAUGACGUCAAGUCCUCAUGGCCUUUAUGUCCAGGGCUACACACGUGCUACAAUGGCCGGUACAAACCGUCGCGACCUCGCGAGGGGAUGCCAAUCGGAAAAAACCGGUCUCAGUUCGGAUUGCAGGCUGCAACUCGCCUGCAUGAAGCUGGAAUCGCUAGUAAUCGCGGAUCAGCAUGCCGCGGUGAAGUACGUUCCCGGGCCUUGUACACCACCGCCCGUCACAUCACGAAAGUCGGCUGUACCAGAA